GCAGGGGUAGCCAAGCCAGGCCAAAGGCGCGGGCUUGAGCCGUCCCGUAGGGGUUCGCGAGUUCGAAUCUCGUCCCCUGCA
rnacentral:tRNA from 1 species